CCCAGUGCCACCGAGUUAAAGUGGCAGAAAGCUACAGCGCUACAAUGAUUAAAGUUAUGGAGGCAACAGACUAGGCCCCUUGGCUGUCCCUUCCGUGCCGCUGCAACCCGACGAAUGCAAUCAAUAAGGAUUGUGAUGGAGUUUCUUCCCAGCAGUUGGCUGAAGAGCUGUAUGAGGAUCUGCCUUGCCUCAGGGAUCUGUAUGUCCUCUGAAGGCUACUGCACUGGCUGCUAUUCCCUGCAUCCUCUUGGAGCCUCCGGAGUUUCAGUACCUUUUUACCAUGUUUGCUUCCACACCAACUGCUAUUGCAAGGAACAAAAUAUGAAUAUUAAAAAAAAAAAACAAUGGAGAAGUAAAA